GGCCCUUUGUGAGCCGUCAGGCGCGUGACAAGAGCGCCCCCGCGCUGGGACUUUGGACCUGGGUUUCUGAAGCUCCUUGAAGCUGAAAGUGUUUCAGUAUCAAGACAACCAGAGCAUCAGAAUCAUUACUUCUGAAAUUUAGAAAAUACCGAGCUGGAAGUUAAAGGAGUUCAGUGUACUGUCUAGGGUCACCAGUCCCACAGCAGAGCACAGGAGCAGCAGGCCAUCUAGCCACAAGAGUGCAGGGGUAGCAGGCCAUCUGGUCAGCUCCAUAACACACUCAGCUGGGUCUCCCUGCGCGGUUUUAUUCAGUAUUUAAUUCCUUCUGGAUGCUGGCACUGUGCUAGUCAGAAUGAGGGAGAGAAAUUUCAUGGUUGCCCAUCUACUUCAGGCCUAAGAAUAAAUGACCACGGGAGAGACUGAAAGCAUCUGAGAUUUCAAGGAAUAGAAAGGAAUCCAGUAAACAAUGGAGUAUGCCCUCAGGGAAGGGAGAGCAGGGAAAGCUGGGAAGCCAUGCUUCCAGGUUUCCAGUGUCAGGGUUCAACCAUGCUGACAUUGGGAUCAUGAACAUUUUCCAUUACCAACUCCUUGUGCCCCCUCGUGGCCACUUUGAGAAUCAUACUUUGCCUUUGCCCUGCCCUGCCCAAGGUCAGGCCCCUUGGCAAAGUGGUCUCUUCCAGAUGUAUCAUCUCAACAUUCCAGUUAUACCUGCAGAUCCAAUAUGCUUCCCACUGGUUAAUAAAAGAUCUUAGAACACCA